AUCAUGUUCCAAUUGAUUGAGUAUUCAAGUCAAAGAAGUUAGGUUGUUCUCCAGAAUUGGCUCUCUUCUAAAGGUCAAAAC
rfam:Echinops telfairi cont1.173662, whole genome shotgun sequence.